rnacentral:misc_RNA from 1 species
GCAGAACUAUAACCUUGCUGAUCAUAUGUAGGCGGCUGGCCGUAACCAGACUGAGGUGCAUGGUAAUUGCCACCAUAGCCAUCUUGGGAAUAACCCUGUUGAUUAUAAGUAGAGGCUUGUGGUUGACCAUAACUGUAACCACUGUUGUCUCCAGUAGCACCAGGACCUCCAGGUGUCUGUUGUUGCUGCGGAGGUUGUUGACUGUAGUAAUCAUAACCACUUCCCUGAGUAGCAGGUUGAUUUGGCGGAACAGCAGACUGGUCCCAAUUGGAAGUAUAUCCACCAGAUGCCGGUUGCGAAUAACCCUGAUAAGGAGGUUGUGGCAUGUUAUACUGAGACGAAGGAGCAGAGUACCCGCCUUGUUGUCCAUAGCCAUAACUAGGCUGCUGCAUUGGUGGAGCCCCAGGAGGACCCCAACUUGAAGGGGGUCGAGCUUGAUAACCUUGCUGAUUAUACCCUCCUGACAUACCUGAAUUUCU